rfam:Bacillus ginsengihumi strain M2.11 NODE_9, whole genome shotgun sequence.
AACACCUUUUAAGCGAGGUCCAGAGAGGCCUAAAAGGGUGUCAUGAUAAUGGUAUCAGCAUAUGCCGAUCAAUCUUUCAUGCACCCUGAAUCAUCCAGGGUGCAUUUUUUUAU